AUGCAAGUCGAGGGGCAGCGCAGAUAGCAAUAUCGGGCGGCGACCGGCGGACGGGUGCGUAACACGUAUGCAACUUACCCCAUACUGGGAAAUAGCCCGGAGAAAUCCGGAUUAAUGUCCCAUAACAUCAGGAAAGGCAUCUUUCUUGGUUAAAAGUUCCGACGGUAUGGGAUGGGCAUGCGUAGGAUUAGCUAGUUGGUAAGGUAACGGCUUACCAAGGCGAUGAUCCUUAGGGGCUCUGAGAGGAGUAUCCCCCACACUGGCACUGAGAUACGGGCCAGACUCCUACGGGAGGCAGCAGUAGGGAAUAUUGGGCAAUGGAGGCAACUCUGACCCAGCCAUGCCGCGUGCAGGAAGACGGUCCUCUGGAUUGUAAACUGCUUUUGAAUGGGAAGAACAUACGGUUUGCGAACCGUACUGACGGUACUAUUAGAAUAAGCACCGGCUAACUCCGUGCCAGCAGCCGCGGUAAUACGGAGGGUGCAAGCGUUAUCCGGAUUUAUUGGGUUUAAAGGGUGCGUAGGCGGCCUUAUAAGUCGGUGGUUAAAGGUAGCAGCUUAACUGUUUUGCAUGCCAUCGAUACUGUAGGGCUUGAGUGAUUUGGAGGUAGCUAGAAUUCCCUGUGUAGCGGUGAAAUGCAUAGAUACGGGGAGGAAUACCGAUUGCGAAGGCAUGUUACUACGAAUUAACUGACGCUGAGGCACGAAAGCGUGGGGAUCAAACAGGAUUA
rnacentral:rRNA from 1 species